GACGAACGCUGGCGGCGUGCCUAAUACAUGCAAGUAGAACGCUGAAGGAGGAGCUUGCUUCUCUGGAUGAGUUGCGAACGGGUGAGUAACGCGUAGGUAACCUGCCUGGUAGCGGGGGAUAACUAUUGGAAACGAUAGCUAAUACCGCAUAAUAGUAGAUGUCGCAUGACAUUUGCUUAAAAGGUGCAGUUGCAUCACUACCAGAUGGACCUGCGUUGUAUUAGCUAGUUGGUGAGGUAAAGGCUCACCAAGGCAACGAUACAUAGCCGACCGGAGAGGGGGAGCGGCCACACUGGGACGGAGACACGGCCCAGACUCCUACGGGAGGCAGCAGUAGGGAAUCUGCGGCAAUGGACGGAAGGCUGACCGAGCAACGCCGCGUGAGUGAAGAAGGUUUUCGGAUCGGAAAGCUCUGUUGUAAGAGAAGAACGAGUGUGAGAGUGGAAAGUUCACACUGUGACGGUAUCUUACCAGAAAGGGACGGCUAACUACGUG
rnacentral:rRNA from 1 species